rnacentral:rRNA from 1 species
AAGCGCUUGAAGUCAGUCGCGUCUUCCGGGACUCAGCCGUUGCCCCUAGCUCGGCGCAUUUCCCGAUGGACGGGCCAGCAUCGAUUUUGACCAUUGGAAAAGGGCCCAUGGGAAGGUGGCACCUCCGGGUGUGUUAUAGCCCAGGGUCGCAUGCUUUGGUUGGGAUCGAGGAACUCAGCACGCCGCUUGCGGCCGGGGGUUCGCCCCACGUACCGUGCUUAGGAUGCUGGCGUAAUGGCUUUAAACGA